rnacentral:rRNA from 1 species
GCAGGCCUAACACAUGCAAGUCGAGCGGUAGCACAGAGAAGCUUGCUCUCGGGUGACGAGCGGCGGACGGGUGAGUAAUGUCUGGGAAACUGCCUGAUGGAGGGGGAUGAACUACUGGAAACGGUAGCUAAUACCGCAUAAUGUCGCAAGACCAAAGAGGGGGACCUUCGGGCCUCUUGCCAUCAGAUGUGCCCAGAUGGGAUUAGCUAGUAGGUGGGGUAAUGGCUCACCUAGGCGACGAUCCCUAGCUGGUCUGAGAGGAUGACCAGCCACACUGGAACUGAGACACGGUCCAGACUCCUACGGGAGGCAGCAGUGGGGAAUAUAGCACAAUGGGCGCAAGCCUGAUGCAGCCAUGCCGCGUGUAUGAAGAAGGCCGUUCGGGUGGUAAAGUACUUUCAGCGAGGAGGAAGGCAUAGUGGUUAAUAACCGCAGUGAUAGACGUUACUCGCAGAAGAAGCACCGGCUAACUCCGUGCCAGCAGCCGCGGUAAUACGGAGGGUGCAAGCGUGAAUCGGAAUUACUGGGCGUAUAGCGCACGCACGCGGUCUGUCAAGUCUGAUAUGAAAUCCCCGGGCUCAACCUGGGAACUGCAUUCGAAACUGGCACGCUAGAGUCUCGUAGAGGGGGGUAUAAUUCCAGGUGUAGCGGUGAUAUGCGUAGAGAUAUGGAGGAGUAUCNGGUGGCGANNGCUGGCCCCCUGUAGAAUAGACUGACGCCUCAUGGUGCGAUAAGCCGUGUGGGAGCCACAACAUGGAUUUAUGAUUACC